GUACCAGAACCUUCUAUUUUACUUUCUUGCUGCAAAUGUUUGCAGCCAUAGGACAGGCCACCUGUCAAUCACCAUUAAGUUUGGUUCCGCCCCCUGUUCAGGGCUCUGGGAGGGAAGGAGCCAUUUUUAAGUUAGUCUCUCUUGGGAAGUUCAGCUGUAGGACAUAGACCAGCUCGUCCCGUAAAAGGCUUCUUAUUUCAAGACCACCGGGGAUAAAGAGCACCAAGGUUAAAGAACCCCAGGGAUAUUGACUGUCCAGGGAUACAGAACAACAGCACAGAAACAUCUGCAAGCCAUUGGCUGAAUUACAUGGGCUUGAACUUGAGAACGUCUGGGCGCAUAUUGUGGAACAUGUGCUCUGCCACUGAAUCACAGCCCUUCCCUGAGUCUUCCUUGGUGAUAUGACACAUUUCUGCAAGUGAUGACGGAUGCUGGAUAUGAAUCAUACAGCUAAAGUGUUAUGAAUAUUUUACCCUUGGGAUCAAGGGAUGGUCUGUCUUUACUUUUUCAAAUUCUUCUCCCUUUGCAGGGAAAGGGUAACAUGGAAGUUGGGCUACUAUCAGUACAGGACAUUUACUGUAUGUAGAAGAAGCAGUUUUACGUAUUGUUCACACUUGUCUCACAGUGUGGCACAACUCCUUAUUCCCAAGCUUCUCUCCACUGUUCACACCCAGGUACCAAAAUGUUUGAAAUUAAAGGAUAUGCAGACUCUGUG